GACGAACGCUGGCGGCAUGCCUAAUACAUGCAAGUCGAACGAUCACUUCGGUGGUAGUGGCGCACGGGUGCGUAACGCGUGGGAAUCUGCCCUUGGGUUCGGAAUAACGUCGGGAAACUGACGCUAAUACCGGAUGAUGACGUAAGUCCAAAGAUUUAUCGCCCAGGGAUGAGCCCGCGUAGGAUUAGCUAGUUGGUGGGGUAAAGGCCUACCAAGGCGACGAUCCUUAGCUGGUCUGAGAGGAUGAUCAGCCACACUGGGACUGAGACACGGCCCAGACUCCUACGGGAGGCAGCAGUAGGGAAUAUUGGACAAUGGGGGCAACCCUGAUCCAGCAAUGCCGCGUGGGUGAUGAAGGCCUUAGGGUUGUAAAGCUCUUUUACCCGGGAUGAUAAUGACAGUACCGGGAGAAUAAGCCCCGGCUAACUCCGUGCCAGCCGCCGCCGUAA
rnacentral:rRNA from 1 species